rnacentral:rRNA from 1 species
AAGUCUGACCUAAUCUCACAUAUUUGGACAAAUAAAUAUCCGCCAGAGAACUACGAGCAAAACGCUUAAAACUCUAAGGACUUGGCGGUGCCUCAAACCCCCCUAGAGGAGCCUGUUCUAUAAUCGAUAAUCCACGAUCCACCUAACCAUCUCUUGCCAAUACCGCCUUCUUCAGCAAACAAUCAGCAAUAGGUC